ensembl:lincRNA
CGAGGACAGGGAUGCUGGAGAGCGGGGUGUUGAGAGACGAACGGGGAAAGCGCCGAGGCUGUCAGGAAGCUCUUGGCGUUGGUCCAUUUGAAGUCUUCCAGGUGGUUGGAGUCUUGACCUGAGUAUGUUAGUUGACGCUGUGACUGUUCCCUAGGUGUGUUCCUCAUUACAAAUUAGUGAUGGUUGAGAAACUUACCUGCAGAGAAAAAACUGUGGUGCAAGUUUGGUGCGCUCUUUGUACUUUUUCUUCCAGCUGAGCACCCAGUUACUUUUUCUCCAACCAAAGAACUUUGGUUGUUCUUCAUAGGAAGACUUUCUCAUUCAUCUCUUGAGCCCUGCCCUCAGCCUCUCCAUUGACAUUCCCUUUGGGAGUAACACAGGGGGGAAGCAUUCUUAAACGAGGGCACUCUUUCUGUCAGUUUAUCAUUCGUGAGGUUUAUUAAAAUUUUGUGGUUUUUAAACCGACAAGGAUAAUUUUUAAAAAAUGAUAUUAUGCUCACUUGAGUUUGAUUGAUUGUUUUUAGUGAGGUGGUCUUGUAAAAACUACUUUCUAUUUCCAACUGGAGAGUUCAAUGCUCCGGAGCAGCCUCUGCUGAGACUCGCUGCUUAACUGAUGGCACUGUCUUGCUGAAUUUCCUUAUGUGCCCUUCACACUGCCCGCCUCUUCCCUUGGAGGGUGCAAACUGCAGCAUCCUGUACAGCUGGCCGGAUUAAUUGAGCUGUGGGUAGUUUAUUAGGGUAGUGUCUGAGGCCAUUGCAUUUACAACAGUUCAGGAUUACUUGCAGGUAUUUAAGAGAGAAAAUACAUCUUCAGUAAGGAUGUUUUCAUAGUAACGAAAUGGAUUUUGAUCAGUUCCCAACAGCCUAAAAUAUAUUACCUUGAUUUCUUUCAGGGUGUAUUACCCAGUAGUUAGUCAACCCAGUGGUCCCUCCUAGUCUGGGUGGAACACACGCUGCUUUGCUCAAAGUGACUAGUUUCUAUUGUUGUUAAGCUGGCCUCUUCUCAAAGAACUAAGUUCUCUUCCUUUGAAACCUUCAAAAGAAGCCAGAAGCCCUGCUUUUAAAUCUAUCGCAUUUCUCCUUAUUGAAUAGCCAUUGAAAAUCAUAAUCUCAAAAAGUUUACAGCUAUCAGUAAUCAAUGAUACUGAAUAAAUAUUUUUGCUGGGUAUAACAGGUUUACAAAUAGUUGAAAUUAGUUUUAGAUCCUAGAAAAUAAGAACUAUACAGUACAGAAACAACACAGUCUUCUUGAAUUUAAAAUUUUUAAAGUUAGUGUGGCAGUUUGGUGAUGUUUAUUAAUUCCAAAAAGAGGUAUUGAUUAUGUUUGUAACCUAGUCUGUUCCUCUGGGCAUGAUAACCCUUUGAUUGUAUUAGAUUCAGCUGAGAUGUUUGAUUAACUUGUGUUAAGAUUAGGGCUUUAAUUCAACCACAUCAUUAGACUGAGACUCAGGGUAGAGUCCAUGCCACCUUGGGCUGAUAAAACAGACACUCCUACGGAAGUGUGAACACAGAGGAAGAGAGACAACUCAAUGGACACUGCAGAGGACCCUGAAAGAGAGAUGAGUCUGAUAGCCUACAGCUGACCUUGUGAAGAGAACAGAGCAGCUGAGCCCGCAAAGAAAUGAGCCCCAGGGAGAGAGACAAGCCUAUGCCAGCCUACAGCUGAGAUCGGAAGAAGCUGGGACCACGGAGCCUUAAGAGAAGAAGAAAGGCUGAACCCUCGCAGACACGCCUGCCAUCUUGCUUCAACACGUGGCAAUAGAGUUUGGUAAGGAAGUAACCUUGAGUUGGACUCUUUAGGGCCUUGUGAAUGUAAGCGUCUACCCUAAAUAAAUACCCUCUAUAAAAGCCACCAGAUACUUUGCAUCAGCACCCCUUUGGCUGACUAAUACAGUUCAGUUUCUUGGAUUCUUUGCCAAGGGGGAACUAUUCCUACAUUAACUUGUAGUAUUCAUAUUUUCAGUAGUAUG